rnacentral:lncRNA from 10 species
ACAGCCUCCCUUAUCAGACUACGUGCUGUCACCCUUCCAGGUGGGAGGAGGCUGUGAUGAUCCACCAGGAUGGCAUAAGUGAAGAAGGAGAGAGGAAGAGCCUCAGGCUGGGACACUCUGGCUGCUACCAGGCUCCAGCAUGGGGAAUUUUAACCUCCGUGAAGCCUGCUGGACUGCUGUCUCAAGACCAGGUGGUGAUAAAGCUCACAACGGCUGCUGACGGUCUUCCGGCCCCGUGAUGAUGUCUGCUUUGUUCUUGGUCUCUUUCAGGAAUAUUUCAAUCCGUGUUUUGCUACCCCACCCCCAAUCCAGGACACUGCAACCUGUCAUGAAUGAAGAGUGGCUGGUCACAUGGCCCGGUCACCAUGGCGACGGAUCCCCGCAGACGAGGUAGGCAUCAAAGUCACAUGAGAACCCCGGAAAACUGGCUGAGGUAUUUAUAGAAGCAGUGGCUGGUGCCUUUAUGGAAAUGGGUCUAUAUUUGACUCUGGUACUGAAACCUCCAUGCUGUCCCUGGGGCAAGAUGAGGACGAGGACGCUCAGAGUCCGUGUGAGAACCUGGGUCAUCCAAUCCUAAAGUCCAUGCUCUUCCCAAGGUGCCCGGCCAUGGAGUGUGGCAGACAGUGUGCUCAAAAGGAGGAGGCAGGAGGGAAGGCUGGUGCUGAGGACAGAGCCGAAGAAAGGGCAGUCUAGAGGAGCAGGGAGAAAUGCAUUUUGUUAUUUUAAUGAACAGGUAACACAUGCACACAGUCAAGAAAAAGAAAUCAAACAAAAUUAAAAUAAGUCCAAUACUAAGUUUCCCUUCUCAGCGUCGUCUAGUGUCCGGUCCGCCUCUGCAGAGGAAGUCACUGUGGCUGGUUUCAGAUAUUCUCCUUCUAGAGAUCUCAUGUGCAUAUAGGAGCAGACAUGGAUGUACUGAAUAUAUAUGGUACAGACAUAUGGCAUGAAAUUCAAAAGGCGGAUGAUGAAAAGUAAAUCUUUCUCCCAUGCCUGCCCCCACUCGUGUAGUUCUUCACCCUAGAGGCAAGCGCUAUUAUGUUUCUUACGUACCAUUCCAGAAGUAUUCAAUGCCUCUAUAAGUACAUGUUUCAUAUACAAAUGGCCAUACCCGCUCUACACUAUUCUGCCUUUUUUUUUUUCACGUAACAAUGUGUCUUGGAGAUGUUUCCAGAUCAGAACCUAUAGGGCAGACCUGUUCACUUUAAUGGUUGCAAAGAAUUUCAUUGCUGGAGGUACCAUAAAUUAUUUAAAUGGUUUCUUGUUGAUAGACAUCUAAUUGUUUCCUUUUUUUUUUAUUACAAACACUGCUACAAGGGGUAUCUUUAAACGAAUCUCUUUAAACAAACACAUGUGCAAAAUGAGUAUGUGACUUCAUAAUCUUGAUAGAUAUGGCCAAAUUGUCAAUGGGUAUGUGCCUUUAUAAUUUUAAUAAAUAUGGCCUAAUUAUCUUCCACAGAGAUUGUAUAAUUUAACUCUUCUCUCAUUAGGAACAUGUGUGUUAUUAACUUUUUGUCAUUUGUUUUAGUUAUUUGCCAAUAUAAUAGGUAAAAUGGAAUCUCAUUAUUUUUCAAUUUGCGUUUCUCUGAUUAUGAAUGAAAUUAAACAUCUUUUUACAUGUG